rnacentral:lncRNA from 1 species
CACUAAUAGGAGGCGACAAGACGGGAGCAGACAUAAGAAAGAUCAGUUCCAGCGGUCGGUCUGUAAAGCAAGAUGGCAGGGCCGGUAGCCUUCUCUACUUAACCUUAACUAACAAGAAGUGGAGUCUACGAGUUCCACUCUUGCACUGUCAUAUUGGUAGCCGUUGUCCAUGUUUGAUUGGGAAGUCCAGGGUCAAAGUGUUGCUAUCGGUGAAAUGAUUCUCUUUCUCUAAUCUCUUUGUAGAGGUAUACCAAGGUAAAUGUAUGUCAACAGAUUGUCACGCCGUAUGCCCUCUUCAUCGAAAAGUUCCCAGUUGACUGUAAUCGAGGAGGUUGAGCAUGAUCGCUUUCAGUUAGAUGCACAUCAAUGAUUCUGGUCGAUGUCACGUCAACGAUUUUGAACUCCUGUCGAAGAGGAAAAG